rnacentral:tRNA from 1 species
GGGGAUGUGGCUCAAGCGGUAGUGCGCUCGCCUGGCAUGCGUGCGGCCGGGGUUCAAUUCCCAGCACCA